AUGGGGAGGCAUUCGUGCUGCUACAAGCAGAAGCUGAGGAAGGGGCUCUGGUCCCCUGAGGAGGAUGAGAAGCUCAUGAACCACAUCACCAAGCAUGGCCAUGGCUGCUGGAGCUCUGUCCCUAAACUUGCAGGGCUCCAAAGGUGCGGCAAGAGCUGCAGGCUGAGGUGGAUAAACUACCUAAGGCCAGACCUUAAGAGAGGUGCCUUCGCUCAGGACGAGGAAGACCUCAUCGUUGAACUCCAUGCUGUGCUCGGGAACAGGUGGUCUCAAAUUGCAGCACAGAUGCCUGGGAGGACUGACAAUGAGAUUAAGAACCUCUGGAACUCGUCCCUCAAGAAGAAGCUGCGGCAGAAGGGCAUUGACCCCAACACCCACAAGCCCCUCACUGAGGCUGAUCGCAGUGGAGCAGCUCCCACCAUCAGCACCGAGAGGACCUCUGGUUCCAGUGAUGUCAACCCGUCAAGCGCUGGUGCUCUAGGGAACUUCGGUCACCUCCUCAGCGAGACAGCCCAAUCUUCAAUGCUGCUGCCAGUGUAUGACAAGAAGCGCCCUGAAACUCCAAGCUUGGCACGACCUAAGGUGCCAGCAAAGGAGUUGUUCCUGGACCAGCUUACUGCUGGUCAUGAGAGCCCAUCAAGCUGCCGUUCAUCAGGUCCAACGCUGUAUUUUCCUUUUCAGCAGCAAUUAGGCUACAGCAACGAGUGUGGCAGUGGAGAUGGUGCAAAUAUGAACUCACUCUGGUUUAACCAGAAUGAUUUCAGUUGCAACACAAUUUCCACUGUGAUGCCAACAGUUUCACCAUCAGCCCUCUCGACGCCGAUGGGACUGAACCUCCCACCAGACAAUCACCGCCAUGGGGGCACUGGCAUCGGCAGUGCCCCUUUCUACUGGGAUGGUGUUAAUCCUAGCAGCAGCGGUAGUACCGGGAGCAGCGGAAGCAACAGCAUGGGGUUCGAGCCACAGAGCACGAACUCAAUUCUGGAGAACAGUGUAUUCCCAUGGACAGAUAUCGGAGUUGGGCAAGAAAAGGAUACCAGAGUUCAGUUAGUGGAGGAACUCAAGUGGCCUGACUUGCUUCAUGGAACCUUUGCAGAGGCAACCACAGCGAUGCAGAACCAGAGCCAAUCACUAUACGAUGAUGUGAUCAAAGCAGAGAGCCAGUUCAACAUGGAAGGGAUAUGUGCUUCUUGGUUCCAGAAUCAGCAGCCACAGCAACAGCUGCAAGCAGCAUCAGACAUGUAUGAUAAAGACUUGCAAAGAAUGCCCUUGUCUUUUGAGCAUAUCUAG
rnacentral:rRNA from 1 species